UACAGAGGCCCCAAGCGUUAGGCGGAAUCACUGGGCUUAAAGCGUGUGUAGGCGGGUUGGUAAGUACUUUGUGAAAUCCCACGGCUCAACUGUGGAAUUGCUUGGUAUACUGCCGAUCUUGAGUCAUUUAGGGGCAGCCGGAACAGAUGGUGGAGCGGUGAAAUGCGUAGAUAUCAUCUGGAACGCCAAUGGUGCAGACAGGCUGCUGGGAAUGAACUGGCGCUGAGGCACGAAAGCUAGGGGAGCGAACGGG
rnacentral:rRNA from 1 species